UUGCUUUGUUACCACUGAGUGUGAAGGAGUUAAUUCCUUCUGUGGGACGGGAAGGAAUGGCUAUUGGAGAAAGGUAGGCCUCUCCAGGUUGGCAUGGAUACACUAUAAAGAACUGUCCAUAUAUGAAUGGAGCACCCUGGAGAGACAAUGGAAUACCUAACUACAGGGAUUCGCUUUGUAAUGACUGUGAUCCAAGAGAAACAGAACAUAUGAACACGGCAGGACUGCAACUUGGGACAUAGGGACCUGGCUAUAAACAGGCUGUGCUUUAAGUUUGCUACUGCCCAGGGAGAAAGAAACAGAGAUGAAAUUGAGGCAUUUUUGUAAAAGCUGGGCAGAUGACUUUGCCAACAUGAACUCUAAGUUAAGUUUUGCUUUAUCAGGCUAACCUGAGGAUCCUUCAAUCCUGUAUUCUAGUUGUCUAAUAAAUGCAGGCUUGUUUUGAAAAAAGUGUCAGGCUUUGCUGCAAAUGCCUACUGGUUUCAUCACCUUCUAAAGAGAUAAAGUCACUACCAGGAGUCUGAAAUCAUUUGGACUCACUGGAGAGCCAUGAUGAGAAAAAAAAGGUGCUGUUACCUGAAGGCCUGGAACUGUUGGGCUUGCCCUGGUAGGACUUUAAGCCUAUAUGAAAGGGGAUGAUCUCAGAGAGACUGUUUUAUCUCUCUUCAGCAGGAUUUACAAUUUCCAAACCUGACAUGAUGUCCCAGCUGGAACGAGGAAAAGAGCCAUGGGUCCCAGAUCUCCAGGGAUCUGAGGAAAGGGAGAUCCUGAGAAGUGCCUUCACAGGUGAGAACGCAGAGCAGAAGCCUCACCAGAAAGUUGCUGAGAAAGUGGAAGCACGUGGACCAUCAUCACAAAGGUCCAAAGGGAAUGUGUCCAGGAGUCAUGAGCAGGGUAAAGCCUGUGACAGACAGCACAGGCGAGAGAGGCAACAGGGAAACAAACCACAGGAGAAAGUUG